rnacentral:rRNA from 1 species
CCUACGGGUGGCAGCAGUGGGGGAUAUUGCACAAUGGGGGGAACCCUGAUGCAGCGACGCCGCGUGGGUGAAGGAGCGUUUCGGCGCGUAAAGCCCUAUCGGCAGGGAAGAAGGAGGCCGGUACCUGACUAAGAAGCCCCGGCUAACUACGUCCCAGCAGCCGCGGUAAUCCGUAGGGGGCCAGCGUUAUCCGGAUUUAUUGGGUGAAAAGGGGGCGCAGUCGGCAGCUCAAGCCAGAAGUGAAAGCCCAGGGCUCAACCCUGGAACGUCCUUUGAAACUGCCGGGCUGGAGUGCAGGAGAGGUGAGCGGAAUUCCAAGUGUAGCGGUGAAAUGCGUAGAUAUUAGGAGGAACACCAGUGGCGAAGGCGGCUUACUGGACUGUAACUGACGUUGAGGCUCGAAAGCGUGGGGAGCAAACAGGAUUAGAUACCCGGGUAGUC